CGGUUUACGAUCUUUGCAUUUUCUAAUUUCUGUUCGUUCACACCAAGUGGCAAACAGAAAUAUUUAAAAAAAAGUAUUUAUUAUUGCCUGAUAAAGGAAACGAAUAAACAUAUCGAGUAUAACUGGAAUUGAUGUGGUAACGAUGAUUUCAAAGCAUUGAAAACAGAAUGUUAAAAUGUGUUCUCAUAAAUGUGUUUAAAAAUUUUAUUAGUAUUUCAAUAUUAGUAUACUCAAUGCAGAUAAACGAAGCAAAUUGAAAUCCUCCAUUUCCUCUCUGCCAUUUUGUUUGCCAUUUUCUCAAGAAAGAAGAAUAAAUAUUUUUUGAAAGAAUUAACAAAUAUUUUCGAAGAAAUAAGAUUCUUCCUCGAAUUAAUAAUGUGUCAACAGUCUUCAAUAUCACGCUGAGGCAGCGAAAAUAAAAUGAUAAUAGUGUUGACUUAACGAAACCUUGGCCACGAAAAAUUAAUCACUCAUGGAAAUUUCAAAUAAUUUUAGAAAAUAAUUGUUAUGAAGGAAUUUACGAGUCUCUUCUUUGUUGACUUCCAUUGUCGAAUGUUCGAGAUUCUACCAAGCAGAUCCGCGAUUAAUUCGACCGGAAGAUUCCUCCACCGUGUAGAAAAUUUUUUCUCAUCGAUGAACAUUUCGUCGUUCAACCUAGUGGCGUUCAUUGGAUCGAGAUCUGUAAUCGGCCAACCGUGAUCCACCGGUGACUUUUUUCUAAGAAACAAUGUACCUUUUGUGGACACUCGAUGAUAUCGAGAUAUUGGUAGGAGAACUUGUUUUUUGUUCCUUGGUCCUACUUCCAUUUCGAAUGUCCUUCCUUUCUGAAUUCAUUAGCAUCUUGAUUUUGGCAGUUAGUCAAAAUUUCUUCCAGGAGUACUAAUAAUUCGAUUUCAAAAUAAUCUUGAAUUUGUAAACGAAUUUUUUUUUAAUAUAUUUACAAUUUAAUUUCUAUAAAAUGAAAAAAUAUUUAAAAAAAAAUAAUUUGAAUAUUUCUUUUAUUAAUAAGAAAAUAUAAAACUUUUAUCUUUAAAUAAAUACUGGUUAAAAUAAAUAAAUUAGAGAAAAAUUGUUUGACAAAAAUAUUCACUUUUCUUAAGAAAUUCACAUUCGAAUGAAUUCCAUGUUAUCUAUGUACCUUCAAAGUAUUGAUUAAAAAUCACGUGCAUCGAUAACACAUUGAAGAGAUGAAAUAUUUAUUAUCUAAUGAUUGCACAAUAAAUAAUAUUAAAAUCAUUUUUACUUCCAUAUAAAUGUUAUUGUAACAGUAACCAAUAAAAUGUUUAUUCAAA